AAAGAAGGGAGAUUUGGCUUGAAUAUGAUGAAAAAUUAUUUCACAGUGAUUCUGGUGAGGCACUGGGACAUUACGCCCAGACAUGUGGUGGAAGUCUCUUCCCUGGUGACACUGAGGAGGCUAGACCAGGCUCUGAGUAACCUGAUCUCACUGUAGGUGUCCCUGUUCAUUGGAGGGGAGUUGGACUAGAUGACCUUAAAAGGUGCCUUCCAUGAAGUCAGUAUGGAUGCCCAACAGCCCACCAGGUGCAUGAUUGCUGCAUGAUUGACUGCCAAUCACCCAAUGGGAGGAGCACAUGCCAUUGCGUCUGAGCAACUGGAGGGGCAUGAGAACAGAACAAAGAGGAGAAAAUUUGAAGAGCUGAGUGGUAGAAUGGGGACAGUCCUCCACUGAACUGCAGCCAUGCAGAUCAAUGAGAUGUCUCUGACUGACCUGCAGCCUCCUGCGGGCCAAUGGGAUGCUACUGGAUCCAUGGGCUGGAGAGACCCGUAUAUCUCUAUACGUGCAUCUCAGACCAUUAAACUUCACCAGAAAGCAGAACUCAAGGAAAAAAACCAAUGCCUUUACUAUGAUUAAGAAUGCAUAAGGAGAAAAAAUAGUAUUUCUGGUUUUCAUCCUGGUUUUCCUCACAAUGCUGGAAGAUGGCC